rnacentral:lncRNA from 1 species
GGGCCUCGGGGUGCCAAAAUUAAGCCGCGGGCAAAGCCGCGCCCAAAAAUAAGCACCCGAAGGUCGUGGUGCCAAAACCCCCCAGCGGAAAAAUGGCCAAAAAACGGGUGGGCUAUAGCCUUGGUGGGGGGCGCGGGCGAAGUUCGUCCGCCGGACUCGGAAUGGGGCGAGACUUUGCGAGGGGCCUCGGGGUGCCAAAAAUAAGCGGCGGGCAAAGCCGCGCCCAAAAAUAAGCGCCCGAAGGUCGUGGUGCCAAAACCCCCCAGCGGAAAAAUGGCCAAAAAACGGGUGGGCUAUAGCCUUGGUGGGGGGCGCGGGCGAAGUUCGUCCGCCAGACUCGGAAUGGGGAGAGACUUUGCGAGGGGCCUCGGGGUGCCAAAAAUACGCCGCGGGCAAAGCCGCGCCCAAAAAUAAGCGCCCGAAGGUCGUGGUGCCAAAACCCCCCAGCGGAAAAAUGGCCAAAAAACGGGUGGGCUAUAGCCUUGGUGGGGGGCGCGGGCGAAGUUCGUCCGCCGGACUCGGAAUGGGGCGAGACUUUGCGAGGGGCCUCGGGGUGCCAAAAAUAAGCCGCGGGCAAAGCCGCGCCCAAAAAUAAGCGCCCGAAGGUCGUGGUGCCAAAACCCCCGAGCGGAAAAAUGGCCAAAAAACGGGUGGGCUAUAGCCUUGGUGGGGGGCGCGGGCGAAGUUCGUCCGCCGGACUCGGAAUGGGGCGAGACUUUGCGAGGG